rnacentral:rRNA from 1 species
UACGUAGGGUGCAAGCGUUGUCCGGAAUCAUUGGGCGUAAAGCGCGCGUAGGUGGCUUCGUAAGUCCGUUGUGAAAGUCAAAGGCUCAACCUUUGAAUGCCGAUGGAUACUGCGAAGCUAGAGUACGGAAGAGGCGAGUGGAAUUCCUGGUGUAGCGGUGGAAUGCGCAGAUAUCAGGAGGAACACCAAUAGCGAAGGCAGCUCGCUGGGACGGUACUGACGCUAAGGCGCGAAAGCGUGGGGAGCGAACAGG